rnacentral:rRNA from 1 species
AUUGAACGCUGGCGGCAUGCCUAACACAUGCAAGUCGAGCGGAAACAGGCCGCACGGUCCUGACUUGUGGUGACGGCGGGAGGGUUAGUACGAAGUGUGUCCCGUCGUGGGGGGUAUGUCCUCGGUAGAGUAGCUCAUAUCGCAUACGCGCUAUGGUGGAGAACGGGGGGGUUCAAUGGAUCGCGCGCUUUUAGCGGCCGCUGUCAGAUUAGGUAGUUGGUGGGGUAAAGGGUCGUCAAGCCAAGGAUCUGUAGCUGGUCUGAGAGGACGACCAGACACACUGGGACUGAGACACGGCCCAGACUCCUACGGGAGGCAGCAGUGGGGAAUUUUGGACAAUGGGCGCAAGCCUGAUCCAGCAAUGCCGCGUGCAGGAAGAAGGUCUUCGGGUUGUAAACUGCUUUUGUACGGAACGAAACGGCGCUAGUUAAUACCCUGGGCUAAUGACGGUACCGAAAGAAUAAGCACCGGCUAACUACGUG